rnacentral:snoRNA from 1 species
AAGCACUGCCUUUGAACCUGAUCUGUCUUGUUUGUAGCCUCACGGGCCAAGCAACAGUGCUGUGCUAGUGUAAGGACUUUGUUAGAACUGGGGCUCUUCAGCUCUCAACUGAAUGCUCUUAAAAACAAGGUACAUUU